ensembl:snRNA U6 U6 spliceosomal RNA
CUGCUCACUUCGGCAGCACAUACACUAACAUUGGAACGAUACAGAGAAGGUUAGAAUGGCUCUUGCACAAGGAUGACAUGCAGAUUCGUGGAGCAUUACAAUUGAUU